CCUACGGGAGGCAGCAGUGAGGAAUAUUGGUCAAUGGGCGGAAGCCGGAACAAGCCAAGUCGCGUGGGGGAAUAAGGCCCUACGGGUCGUAAACCUCUUUGGCCGGGGAGCAAGGGCCGGGACGCGUCCCGGCCCGGAGAGUACCCGGAGAAAAAGCAUCGGCUAACUCCGGGCCAGCAGCCGCGGUAAUACGGAGGAUGCGAUCGUUAUCCGGAUUUAUUGGGUUGAAGGGGUGCGUAGGCGGGCUUUUAAGUCAGCGGUAAAAAUUCGGGGCUCAACCCCGUCCGGCCGUUGAAACUGGGGGCCUUGAGUGGGCGAGAAGAAGGCGGAAUGCGUGGUGUAGCGGUGAAAUGCAUAGAUAUCACGCAGAACCCCGAUUGCGAAGGCAGCCUUCCGGCGCCCUACUGACGUUGAGGCUCGAAAGCGUGGGGAGCAAACAGGAUUAGAUACCCGUGUAGUC
rnacentral:rRNA from 1 species